AGAGCGAACGCUGGCGGCAGGCCUAACACAUGCAAGUCGAGCGCCCCGCAAGGGGAGCGGCAGACGGGAGAGUAACACGUGGGAACGUACCCUUUGGUUCGGAACAACACAGGGAAACUUGUGCUAAUACCGGAUAAGCCCUUACGGGGAAAGAUUUAUUGCCAAAGGAUCGGCCCGCGUCUGAUUAGCUUGUUGGUGAGGUAACGGCUCACCAAGGCUACGAUCAGUAGCUGGUCUGAGAGGAUGAUCAGCCUCACUGGGACUGAGACACGGCCCAGACUCCUACGGGAGGCAGCAGCGGGGAAUAUUGGACAAUGGGCGCAAGCCUGAUCCAGCCAUGCCGCGUGGAUGAUGAAGGCCCUAGGGUUGUAAAGCUCUUUUGUGCGGGAAGAUAAUGACGGUACCGCAAGAAUAAGCCCCGGCUAACUUCGUGCCAGCAGCCGC
rnacentral:rRNA from 1 species